CUUUUUGAGAGUUUGAUCCUGGCUCAGGACGAAUGUUGGCGGCGUGUCUAAGGCAUGCAAGUCGAACGAGUUAUUUUUUGUCGCAAGAUGAGAAAUAGCAAGUGGCAAACGGGUGCGUAACACAUUGGUAACCUGCCUCGAAGUCGGGCACAACUCGCCGAAAGGUGAGCUAAUUCCACGAUGGACAUGAGGGGACGCGAGUCAUUCUCAUGUAAAGUCGCAAGACGCUUCGAGAGGGGCCUAUGGCCUAUCAGCUAGUUGGUGAGGUAAUGGCUCACCAAGGCUAUGACGGGUAGGGGAUGUGAGAGCAUGAUCCCCCUCACUGGAACUGAGACACUGUCCAGACACCUACGGGUGGCUGCAGUCGAGAAUAUUCCCCAAUGGGCGAAAGCCUGAGGGAGCGACGCCGCGUGUGGGAUGAAGGCCUUCGGGUCGUAAACCACUUUUGCCGAGGAAGAAUCAUGACGGUACUCGGAGAAUAAGAGGUUGCUAACUCUGUGCCAGCAGCAGCGGUAAUACAGAGACCUCAAACAUUGUCCGGAUUUAUUGGGCGUAAAGGGUCCGCAGGUGGCCAGGUGCGUCAUCGGUUAAAUCUAUCCGCUCAACGGAUAAACCGCCGGUGAUACGGCCAGGCUAGAGAGUGGGAGAGGCAAGCGGAAUUACCGGUGUAUUAGUAAAAUGCGUUCAUAUCGGUAAGAACACCAAAUGCGAAGGCAGCUUGCUGGAACACUUCUGACACUCAGGGACGAAAGCGUGGGGAGCGAAUGAGAUUAGAUACCUCAGUAGUCCACGCCCUAAACGAUGGAUGCUAGAUAUCGGGAGUAUCGACCCUCUCGGUGUCGUUUAAAAUAGCUAACGCAUUAAGCAUCCCGCCUGGGAAGUACGGUCGCAAGACUAAAACUCAAAGGAAUAGACGGGGACCCGCACAAGCGGAGGAGCAUGUGGUUUAAUUCGAUGGUAAGCGAGGAACCUUACCUGGGUUUGAAAUGUAGCUGCAAGCCACCGGAAACGGAGGCCGCCUUCGAGGGUGCUACACAGGUGCUGCAUGGUUGCCGUCAGCUCGUGUCGUGAGAUGUACCGUUAAGUCGGGUAACGAGCGCAACCCCUGUCCCGUGUUGUUUUUCACGGGAGACCGCCUCGGAUAACGGGGAGGAAGGCAGGGACGACGUCAAAUCAGCAUGGCUCUUACAUCCAGGGCCACACACGUGCUACAAUGGCCGGAACAAUGGGUUGCCAAGCCGCAAGGCGGAGCUAAUCCCACCAACACCGGCCCCAGUUCGGAUUGGGGGCUGCAAUUCGCCCCCAUGAAGCCGGAUUCGCUAGUAAACGCGUAUCAGCCACGGCGCGUUGAAUACGUUCUCGGGUCUUGUACUCACCGCCCGUCAAGUCAAGAGAGUCGGAAAUACCCGAAGGCUCCGAUGAGGGGACGAAGGUAGAGCCGAUAAUAGGGACUAAGUCGUAACAAGGCAUCCGUAGCGGAAGCUGCGGAUGGAUCACCUCCUUU
rnacentral:rRNA from 1 species